rnacentral:rRNA from 1 species
AUGAACGCUAGCGGCAGGCCUAAUACAUGCAAGUCGAGGGGUAAGAGUCAGCUUGCUGACUACACGACCGGCGCACGGGUGCGUAACGCGUAUGCAACCUACCUUUAACAGAGGAAUAGCCCCGAGAAAUCGGGAUUAAUACCACAUAACAUUAUGAUAUGGCAUCAUAUUAUAAUUAAAACUCCGGUGGUUAAAGAUGGGCAUGCGUGACAUUAGCUAGUUGGUGAGGUAACUGCUCACCAAGGCUACGAUGUCUAGGGGUUCUGAGAGGAUGAUCCCCCACACUGGUACUGAGACACGGACCAGACUCCUACGGGAGGCAGCAGUAAGGAAUAUUGCGCAAUGGAGGCAACUCUGACGCAGCCAUGCCGCGUGCAGGAUUGAAGGCCUUAUGGGUCGUAAACUGCUUUUAUUUAGGAAUAAACUUUCGUACGUGUACGAAACUGAAGGUACUAAACGAAUAAGCACCGGCUAACUCCGUGCCAGCAGCCGCGGUAAUACGGAGGGUGCAAGCGUUAUCCGGAUUUAUUGGGUUUAAAGGGUGCGCAGGCGGACCAAUUAGUCAGUGGUGAAAAUCCCGAGGCUCAACCUCGGAACUGCCAUUGAUACUGUUGGUCUUGAAAUACGGUUGAAGUAGGCGGGAAUGUAGCAUGUAGCGGUGAAAUGCAUAGAGAUGCUACAGAAACCCCGAUCGGCGAAGGGCAGCUUUCUAAACCGAUAAUUGACGCUCAGGCACGAAAGCGUGGGGGAGCGAACAGGAUUAGAUACCCUGGUAGUCCCACGCCGUAAACUAUGAUCACUCGUUGUUCGCAAUACACAGUCAGUGACCAAGCGAAAGCGAUAAGUGAUCCCCCUGGGGAGUACGAUCGCAAGGUUGAAACUCAAAGGAAUUGACGGGGGCCCGCACAAGCGGUGGAGCAUGUGGUUUAAUUCGAUGAUACGCGAGGAACCUUACCUGGGCUCAAAUGUAAGUCGACAGUUUCUGAAAGGGAAUUUUCUUCGGACAAUUUACAAGGUGCUGCAUGGUUGUCGUCAGCUCGUGCCGUGAGGUGUCGGGUUAAGUCCCAUAACGAGCGCAACCCCUACUCUUAGUUGCCAUCAGAUAAUGCUGGGGACUCUAGGAGAACUGCCUACGCAAGUAGAGAGGAAGGUGGGGAUGACGUCAAAUCAGCACGGCCCUUACGUCCAGGGCUACACACGUGCUACAAUGGCCGGUACAGAGGGCAGCCACCUGGUGACAGGGAGCGAAUCUCUAAAGCCGGUCUCAGUUCGGAUCGAAGUCUGCAACCCGACUUCGUGAAGCUGGAAUCGCUAGUAAUCGCGCAUCAGCCAUGGCGCGGUGA